rnacentral:rRNA from 1 species
CAGUCGCCACGGUAAUACGAGGGGGGCAAGCGUUGUUCGGAAUUAUUGGGCGUAAAGGGUGCGUAGGCGGUUUGAUAAGUCUGAUGUGAAAUCUCUGGGCUCAACCCAGAGUCUGCAUCGGAAACUGUCGGGCUUGAGGAUGGGAGAGGUGAGUGGAAUUUCCGGUGUAGCGGUGAAAUGCGUAGAUAUCGGAAGGAACACCUGUGGCGAAAGCGGCUCACUGGACCAUUUCUGACGCUGAUGCACGAAAGCUAGGGGAGCAAACAGGAUUAGAUACCCCUGUAGUCCCUGUCUCUUAUAC